ACCCGCUGAACUUAAGCAUAUCAAUAAGCGGAGGAAAAAGA
rnacentral:rRNA from 1 species